rnacentral:rRNA from 1 species
CAGCAGCCGCGGUAAUACGUAGGGGGCGAGCGUUGUCCGGAAUUAUUGGGCGUAAAGCGCGCGCAGGCGGUCCUUUAAGUCUGAUGUGAAAGCCCACGGCUCAACCGUGGAGGGUCAUUGGAAACUGGGGGACUUGAGUGCAGGAGAGGAGAGCGGAAUUCCACGUGUAGCGGUGAAAUGCGUAGAGAUGUGGAGGAACACCAGUGGCGAAGGCGGCUCUCUGGCCUGUAACUGACGCUGAGGCGCGAAAGGCUGGGGAGCAAACAGGAUUAGAUACCCUGGUAGUCCACGCCGUAAACGAUGAGUGCUAAGUGUUAGAGGGGUCACACCCUUUAGUGCUGCAGCUAACGCGAUAAGCACUCCGCCUGGGGAGUACGGCCGCAAGGCUGAAACUUAAAGGAAUUGGCGGG